AGGGCAAGUCUGGUGCCAGCAGCCGCGGUAAUUCCAGCUCCAAUAGCGUAUAUUAAAGUUGUUGCAGUUAAAAAGCUCGUAGUUGAAUUUCGGGUUCAAUUUAUUGGUCGUGCCAACGGUACGCACUGGUACAAUUGGUUUCUCCCUUCUGACGAAGCAUGAUGUCAUUAAUUUGAUGUCGUGGGGAAUCAGGACUGUUACUUUGAAAAAAUUAGAGUGUUUAAAGCAGGCUUUGGCUUGAAUACAUUAGCAUGGAAUAAUGAAAUAGGACGUUUGAUCUUAUUUCGUUGGUUUCUAAGAUCGACGUAAUGAUUAAUAGGGAUAGUUGGGGGCAUUAGUAUUCAAUUGUCAGAGGUGAAAUUCUUGGAUUUAUUGAAGACUAACUACUGCGAAAGCAUUUGCCAAGGAUGUUUUCAUUAAUCAAGAACGAAAGUUAGGGGAUCGAAGACGAUCAGAUACCGUCGUAGUCUUAACCAUAAACUAUGCCGACUAGGGAUCGGAUGAUGUUAAUUUUUUAAUGACUCAUUCGGCGCCUUACGGGAAAC
rnacentral:rRNA from 1 species